rnacentral:rRNA from 1 species
ACGGGUGAGUAACGCGUGGGUAACCUGCCUCAUACAGGGGGAGUAACAGCUGGAAACGGCUGCUAAUACCGCAUAAGCGCACAGUACCGCAUGGUACCGUGUGAAAAACUCCGGUGGUAUGAGAUGGACCCGCGUCUGAUUAGGUAGUUGGUGCGGUAACGGCGCACCAAGCCGACGAUCAGCAGCCGACCUGAGAGGGUGACCGGCCACAUUGGGACUGAGACACGGCCCAAACUCCUACGGGAGGCAGCAUG